GUCAGGAUGGCUGAGCAGUCUAAGGCACCAGACUCAAAACUAAUGACCUUCUCCUGUCUCGUGAGUGUUCCGGUCUCCAAAUGGAGGUGUGGGUUUGAAUCCCACUUCUGACA
rnacentral:tRNA from 1 species